rnacentral:lncRNA from 1 species
GGGAAUUAAAUGUUUUAGCCUUGUUAGUAAUAAGAAUCAGAAAAAUAGAGCUUCAAGUGCUCAGGGAAUCAAAGGGGUAAAAGGUAGUAAGAAUUAUGCAAUGCUUGUGGCUUCACCAGGGAAAAGACUGUUGUCUAAGGCUAUGACUCUUAAAUCUGCAGGUGAUGUUAACAAACAGAAAGCUGCGGGUAAAUCUAAACCAAAGGAGGGGGAAAAAACGGAUGGUGCAAAUCGAUUGUCGAAGAAAGGGAUGGUGGCGCUCCUGAAACCACCGGCAAAUACGUGAAAGCCUUGAGCUGGAACUGUCAGGGAAUAGGAGCUGACCUGACAGAAAAUUAUU